rnacentral:rRNA from 2 species
AGCAGCCGCGGUAAUUCCAGCUCCAAUAGCGUAUAUUAAAGUUGCUGCAGUUAAAAAGCUCGUAGUUGAAUUUCGGGACCAAUAUGUCGGUCGUGCCUCGGUACGUACUGGCAUCGUUGGUUUCUCCCUUCUGACGAACCAUGAUGUCAUUUAUUUGGUGUCGUGGGGAAUCAGGACUGUUACUUUGAAAAAAUUAGAGUGUUUAAAGCAGGCUCACGCUUGAAUACAUUAGCAUGGAAUAAUGAAAUAGGACGUUUGAUUCUAUUUUGUUGGUUUCUAGGAUCGACGUAAUGAUUAAUAGGGAUAGUUGGGGGCAUUAGUAUUCAAUUGUCAGAGGUGAAAUUCUUGGAUUUAUUGAAGACUAACUACUGCGAAAGCAUUUGCCAAGGAUGUUUUCAUUAAUCAAGAACGAAAGUUAGGGGAUCGAAGACGAUCAGAUACCGUCGUAGUCUUAACCAUAAACUAUGCCGACUAGGGAUCGGAUGAUGUUAAUUUUUUAAUGACUCAUUCGGCGCCUUACG